rnacentral:rRNA from 1 species
AUGGGAACGCGAAGAACCUUACCUAGACUUGACAUCUUCUGCAUUAAUCGUAAUGGAUGAAAUCCCUUCGGGGACAGAAUGACAGGUGGUGCAUGGUUGUCGUCAGCUCGUGUCGUGAGAUGUUGGGUUAAGUCCCGCAACGAGCGCAACCCCUAUUAUUAGUUGUCUAACAUUAAGUUGAGCACUCUAGUGAGACUGCCCGGGUUAACCGGGUAGGAAGGCGGGGAGUGACGUCAAAUACAUCAUGCCCCUUACUGUCUAGGGCGAACACACGUGCUACAAUGGUGAGUACAGAUAGAUGCGAUACCGCAAGGUGGAGCCAAACUCUAAAACUACAUCCCAGUUCGGAUUGUAGGCUGCAACUCGCCUACAUGAAGUUGGAGUUGCUAGUAAUCGCGAAUCAGAAUGUCGCGGUGAAUACGUUCCCGGGUCUUGUACACACC